GCUUGGGAAGAUACACAUGCAAAAUGGGAACAAGCAACAAAACUAAUCUUUAACUAUCCAAAAGCCAAAAUGGAUGAUAGCCAGGCUGCUGAAAGUUUCAUAUGACCAUUGUUAGGAGUCGAGUGUCCCAUCUGAGUGGAGGAGGAUGCGCAGAUUUGUCUGACACAGACUCCCUACAGGAAUGGAUCAACAUGACCGGCUUCCUUUGUGCCCUUGGGGGGGGAGUGUGCCUCCAGCAGAGAAGUAAUUCUGGCCUGGCAACCUAUAGCCCACCCAUGGGUCCAGUCAGUGAAUGUCAGGGUUCCAUGAUUUCAGUGAUGUCCUCAGAGGGAAACGCAGGUACACCUGUCAGCAAAUGUAUGGAUCAGCUGUUGUCCUUAAUGCUGUGUAACCUUGAGGAAGUGGGACUUCAAAUACGGACCAAUGAUAAAGACCUGGUGGGUCUAGAAUUGAGUCCUGCUCUUUAUCUGAUGCUAUUUAACAAACUGAAGAAUGCCAUCAGCAAGUUUUUUGACUCCCAAGGACAGGUUUUAUUGACGGAUACCAACACUCAAUUUGUAGAGCAAACCAUAGCUAUAAUGAAGAACUUGCUAGAUAAUCAUACUGAAGGCAGCUGUGAACAUCUAGGGCAAGCUAGCAUUGAACCAAUGAUGUUAUAUCUGGGCAGGUAUGUUCGUGUGCUUGGGAAUAUGGUCCAUGCAAUUCAAAUAAAAACGAAACUGUAUCAGUUGGUUGAAGUAACGAUGGCAAGGAGAGAUGACCUCUUACUUUGCCAAGAGAUGAAAUUUAGGAAUAAGAUUGUAGAAUAUCUGACAGUCUGGGUUAUGGGAACAUCAAACCAAGCAGCAGAUGAUGAUGUAAAAUGUCUUACAAGAGAUUUGGAGCAGGCAAGCAUGGAAGCAGUAAUUUCUCUUCUAGCUGGUCUCCCUGUGCAGCCUGAGGAAGGAGAUGGUGUGGAAUUGAUGGAAGCCAAAGGGGACACAGUUAUUUCUUAA
ensembl:lincRNA